UUUGAAGGUAAACAUGUUUUACUUUGUUUGAUUAUAAAUUUUAGAUGUUUUCAUUCAAUUUAGAUAUCAAAUUUUUAAAUUUGUGGCUAAAAUUCAAGCUCAACAAUCAAACUUGUUCUGGUGAACUUUUUUGUGAAGAAAUGAGCAAAAGAUCUUCGUUUUCAAUAAUGUUGAUUUCUUAACUAUAUUCUCUCCUGUCUCUACAAAUAUUGUCAAACUUUUUUUAAUGUGCAUCUGGGUUUUUUUUGUUGUUUUUUUGUUGCAGCGAGCAUCUGUGGUGUCGCGUUAAGGUUUUCCAUCUAUGGAAGUGGGGAAGAUGCGGCUUUGUCGUGUUCUGUGUUUCACUCUGACCCUCGUUUCAGGGGUAACUGGAGGUACUGGGCAGACACCCUGAUGGAGAAUGGGUCACUGCUGGAGGCCUCGUCCUGAGCGGGAAGGCUGAGCGUGAACCAUGAAGGAUCUGUGAUCAUGAAGAGAGUCAGGGCUUCAGAUGCUGUAUCCUACCAGUGUUACUUUAACACCAUUAAUGUUUUAGAAAACGUGCUGCUUGUUUUGUCCAGUGAGUAUUCGGCCACCUAAACCUCAAUCAUUCUGCUUCUCAGCUUUUAGAACAGAUCUUUGUCUCCUGUUUUAUGGUGCAGAUUCCCACCGUCAGGUCAAACUCUUAUAAAGUCAUACCUCCAUUAGAUCCACACACUGCCAUGUUGUCCCAUCACAUUCUGGAGCAUUGCUAACAAUUGGUAUUCUAUAAAAAUAAAAUGUGUCAAAGACAACAUAUUGAAGACACUUUCUGUUGUUUGUUCUUGAAAAUGUUGCCUCAUUUAUGAACUCCAGAUAUUUAUGGAGUUUUGUUUGCCUGCCUUAAAACUUGCGCAGCAAAACUUUGUGACUUCAUCUAAUUAGGUGUUUUUUAAUUUUUGAAAACAAAUCAAAACAAAAUAUUUUUUGAGGCAAGCGUUUUCUUAAACCUCCAGUCAGUCUUGGCAGAUGGCCGUUUGCACUGAGCCACGUUCUGGUUCUGCUGGAGGUUUCUUCCUGAUAAAGGAGAGAUUUUCCUCUCCACUGUCGCUACAUGCAUGGUCAGUAUGAGGAUUGCUUCACUUUCAUUUCCUCCUCAUGGUUGCAUUGUGCAGAUUCCACCUGUGUUGGUUUAGACCUCUUCUUAUUUUGGUCAAGCAGGAGUUUUAUUCUGUGGAGUAAAAAGAAAAGUGCAAUAAACUGAGUUUUACUUCUGAUGAGACUCUACGCUCAGAUUCAGGAGCUUUUAGUCAUUAUGAAAACUGUUUUAUAUCACAAACACUGAAACAGAAGCUCAGCAGGGAAAUAAGAUCAAAGUUUGUUUUUCUCUCCUUGUUUCAGUCUCUGCGUCUCCACCAGAUUCAGAGUGUAAAAAGGAUGAAAUCAUGGAUUUGAGCUGCUCUCUGGUGUGCUCUCGCACCAACUACUGCUCGUCUCCAGGGGGCAGCAUUGUCUGGCUGAAUGAACCUGGAAAUGUCCUGAAAACAGAGUUGAGUUGAAGAGAGACGUUUCAGUCCUCAUUGUGAAUUGUCUGAUGGGAAACUACAGAAGAUACACCUGUCAGUUUGUUCAGGAAGAUGAAGUCAAAGCAGAGGUUCACUACACUUCUGUCUUCUCAGGAAGCAAGAAGCCACCGAAGGACAUUAAUGUGAGUAAAAAACACAAAAUACUUUUAAUGAUCAGAAAAACAAAAUGGCAGCUGGGAAAUUUAACUGAAUGUGAUUUAUUUUUUGUUUUACUUGUUGCCAUAGCAAGUUAUUUAUUUCAAUAAUUGUGGUUUAUAAUGGCUUAAGAUUUAUUCCUCUGAGUUUUUUUUUUCUUUUAGUAAAAAAGUGUUUUAUCACAGUAAAACAUGCGUCCAAAAUACACAGUUACUUUGUGUAUUUGGGUCAAACAUUUCCAGACUUUAUUGAAACAAAAAUACUUUCUCGUGUCUUGAAAUAAAUGAGAAUGUGUCGUUUGUUUGGUUAAAAUCCCAGGACAUUAUUUCAGUUUUUAUUCAAGAAGUUUUUGUUUUUUUUAUCUCAGGUUCAUUUUGCUGCAGAGACGAUUCACUGAAAUUAUUGGAGUCUCUUCUUUUCCUGUCAGUCACUGAUCUUCAUCACAUCAGGCUUUACAUAUGAGCUUCAACUAUUUUAAGUGUUUAAUGCUACAUCACUAUUUAAAUGUUACAAUGCUGAUAUAUCCAGGUAUUCUUUUGGUUUUGGACAGAAUAAACUGAGGCAGAUGAACCAACCUGUAAUCUCAGGUCAGGAAAUCUGUUAAAACUGAUUGUUGACACUGUGGUUGUAUGAAUGUAUGACAGAUAUAUUCAUGUUACUGGCUGUGAAAAUGCCUUGUAUUAAAUCCAGAUAUAUUAGCAUUUAGCUUGUGUGCUUUACUUUUCUAGAGGAGCUGCUUUGGAUUGAAUCUUUAAUAUUAAGCAACUUAUUUAAACCAAAAUAGCAGUGAACAUUCAAUAUGUAUCCGAUUAAGUUCAUCUUUGUUAGUUUACAUUAAAUUUAUUGCUGUUCUGGAAA